AGCAGCCGCGGUAAUUCCAGCUCCAAUAGCGUAUAUUAAAGUUGUUGCAGUUAAAAAGCUCGUAGUUGAAUUUCGGGAUCAGUUCGCUGGUCGUGCCUCUGGUAUGUACUGGUGUUACUGGUUCCUCCCUUCUGAAGAACUGUCAUGUCAUUAAUUUGGUGUGGCGGGGAAUCAGGACUGUUACUUUGAAAAAUUAGAGUGUUUAAAGCAGGCUCGCGCUUGAAUACAUUAGCAUGGAAUAAUGAAAUAGGACGUUCGAUCCUAUUUUGUUGGUUUCUAGGAUUGACGUAAUGAUUAAUAGGGAUAGUUGGGGGCAUUAGUAUUCAAUUGUCAGAGGUGAAAUUCUUGGAUUUAUUGAAGACUAACUACUGCGAAAGCAUUUGCCAAGGAUGUUUUCAUUAAUCAAGAACGAAAGUUAGGGGAUCGAAGACGAUCAGAUACCGUCGUAGUCUUAACCAUAAACUAUGCCGACUAGGGAUCGGAUGAUGUUAAUUUUUAAUGA
rnacentral:rRNA from 1 species